rnacentral:rRNA from 1 species
AAGUCGGAAUCGCUAGUAAUCGUGGAUCAGAAUGCCACGGUGAAUACGUUCCCGGGCCUUGUACACACCGCCCGUCACACCAUGGGAGUGGGCUGCAAAAGAAGUAGGUAGUUUAACCUUCGGGGGGACGCUUACCACUUUGUGGUUCAUGACUGGGGUGAAGUCGUAACAAGGUAGCGCUAGGGGAACCUGGCGCUGGAUCACCUCCUUAAACGAUGA